UACGUAGGGUGCAAGCGUUAAUCGGAAUUACUGGGCGUAAAGCGUGCGCAGGCGGUUUUGUAAGUCUGAUGUGAAAUCCCCGGACUCAACCUGGGAAUUGCAUUGGAGACUGCAAGGCUAGAAUCUGGCAGAGGGGGGUAGAAUUCCACGUGUAGCAGUGAAAUGCGUAGAGAUGUGGAGGAACACCGAUGGCGAAGGCAGCCCCCUGGGUCAAGAUUGACGCUCAUGUACGAAAGCGUGGGGAGCAAACAGG
rnacentral:rRNA from 1 species